rnacentral:rRNA from 14 species
GUUUAUGGCUAUACCAUUCUGAAUGCAUCUAAUUUCAUCUGUCCUUGAGGCUAAGCAGGAUUGACCUUGGUUAGCAGUUGGAUAGGAGACAGCGGGUUAAUACAAAUCCAGUGCCCAAAUCA